CAGCACCUCAAGUGGUCAGGAUGAUUAUUGGGCCUAAAGCAUCCGUAGCUUGCUUUGUCAGUUUUCGGUUAAAUCCAUACGCUCAACGUAUGGGCUGCCGGGAAUACUGCAGCGCUAGGGAGUGGGAGAGGUAGACGGUACUCGGUAGGAAGGGGUAAAAUCCUUUGAUCUAUUGAUGACCACCUGUGGCGAAGGCGGUCUACCAGAACACGUCCGACGGUGAGGGAUGAAAGCUGGGGGAGCAAACCGGAUUAGAUACCCGAGUAGUCC
rnacentral:rRNA from 1 species